rnacentral:rRNA from 1 species
AGUGAACGCUGGCGGCAGGCCUAACACAUGCAGGUCGAACGGAUCCUUCGGGAUUAGUGGCGGACGGGUGAGUAACACGUGGGAACGUGCCCUUUGGUUCGGAACAACUCAGGGAAACUUGAGCUAAUACCGGAUGUGCCCUUCGGGGGAAAGAUUUAUCGCCAUUGGAGCGGCCCGCGUCUGAUUAGCUAGUUGGUGAGGUAAAGGCUCACCAAGGCGACGAUCAGUAGCUGGUCUGAGAGGAUGAUCAGCCACAUUGGGACUGAGACACGGCCCAAACUCCUACGGGAGGCAGCAGUGGGGAAUCUUGCGCAAUGGGCGAAAGCCUGACGCAGCCAUGCCGCGUGAAUGAUGAAGGUCUUAGGAUUGUAAAAUUCUUUCACCGGGGACGAUAAUGACGGUACCCGGAGAAGAAGCCCCGGCUAACUACGUGCCAGCCGCCGCAGUAAAAC